rnacentral:rRNA from 1 species
GACGAACGCUGGCGGCGUGCCUAAUACAUGCAAGUAGAACGCAGUUGCGAACGGGUGAGUAACGCGUAGGUAACUGCCUCAUAGCGGGGGAUAACUAUUGGAAACGCUAGCUCAUACCGCAUACUGUGAGAUGGACCUGCGUUGUAUUAGGUAGUUGGUGGGGUAAAGACUCACCAAGGCGACGCUCCAUAGCCGACCUGAGAGGAUGAACGGCCACACUGGGACGGAGAAACGGCCAAGACGACGACGGGAGGCAGCAGUAGGGAAUCUUCGGCAAUGGACGGAAGUCUGACCGAGCAACGCCGCGUGAGUGAAGAAGGUUUUCGGAUCGUAAAGCUCUGUUGUUAGGGAAGCGGUAACGAAAAAGAAAGUGACGGCUAACUACGUGCCAGCAGCCGCGGUAAUAC